ACAAACUUGGUCAUUUAGAGGAAGUAAAAGUCGUAACAAGGUUUCCGUAGGUGAACCUGCGGAAGGAUCAUUAACGAGUUCUUUGAAGUGGGUUUGAUGCUGGCCUUUCAUUAGGCAUGUGCUCGCCCUACUCUCAUCCACUCACACCUGUGCACCUUACGUUAAAGAAGUGACUAGCCUUUCAUUAGGCAGCGGUUAGGGCAACCUAGCUGUGGUCGCUCCUUUGCGUUUCUUACACACUACGAAUGUAUCAGAAUGUCUAUGGCCUUACGGGCUUUAAAUCAUAAUACAACUUUCAACAACGGAUCUCUUGGCUCUCGCAUCGAUGAAGAACGCAGC
rnacentral:misc_RNA from 1 species